rnacentral:rRNA from 1 species
CACCGUAAUGAUGAGCGCACGGAGGAUGCCUAGGCGGAGGCGGCCGAGGAAGGACGCGGCCACGCGGCGAAAUGCUCAGGGGAGGCGCUGGCGGCCUGAGAUCCUGAGAUCUCCGAAUGGGGCACCCCGCCCGCCGCAUUGGCGGGCACGCCAGGGAACUGGCGGGGGCACCGGGGGAACUGAAACAUCUCAGUACCCCGAGGAAGAGAGAGGAUUCCCUCAGUAGCGGCGAGCGAAGGGGGAGGAGCCCAAACCGUGGUGGCGAUACAGCCUGCCGGCGAUGCCACUGCGGGGUAGGACGAGGUCCUGGGAGCGCGCGGCAGCGGGCUCGCUUCAGGCGAGGGAUCAGGCGAAGACCGCUGGAACGGGUCACCGCAGGGGGUGAGAGUCCCGUAGCCGACGGUUCCUCGUGGCGAGUGCAGGGCGAUCGUGAGUACCGCCGGACACGCGACAUCCGGCGGGAAGCGGGGGUGACCACACCCCAAGGCUAAAUACCGUCUCCGACCGAUAGGGAACCAGUACCGUGAGGGAAAGGUGAAAAGCACCCCGGCGAGGGGAGUGAAAGAGAACCUGAAACCGUGCGCUUCCGGCCGGUCGGAGCCUGGGGAGACCUGGGUGACGGCGUGCCUUUUGUAGAAUGAGCCGACGAGUGGGUCGCGGCGGCGAGGCUAAGCCAGGGACAGGCGGAGCCGGAGCGAAAGCGAGUCCGAAAGGGCGAAUAGUUCGUGCGGAUCGACCCGAAACUGGGUGAUCUACCCAUGGCCAGGCUGAAGCGGGCGGAACACGCCUGUGGAGGGCCGAACCGGGACCUGUUGCAAAAGGUCCGGAUGAGCUGUGGGUAGCGGUGAAAUGCCAAGCGAACCCAGAGAUAGCUGGUUCUCCCCGAAAUGCAUUUAGGUGCAGCCCCGGCAUGGGGCGCGGCGGAGGUAUCGCGCUGGAUUGACGAGGGGGCUACUCGCUUACCGACUCAAACCAAACGACGAAUGCCGCCGCGAUGGUGCCGGGCGUGAGACAGCGGGUGCGAAGAUUCGUUGUCGAGAGGGAAACAGCCCAGACCGCCAGCUAAGGUCCCCAACUACGGACUAAGUGGGCAAGGUAGUCGCGGUGCAGAAACAACCAGGAGGUUGGCUUAGAAGCAGCCAUCCUUGAAAGAGUGCGUAAUAGCUCACUGGUCGAAUGUGCCGCGGCGCCGACAAUCCACCGGGGCUCAAGCCCGUGACCGAAGCCGCGGAUUGUGUGCGAGCAUGAUGGUAGGGGAGCGUCCCCGUCGGCGGUGAAGCUGGCCUGGGAGGGCUGGUGGAGCGGCGGGGAGUGCGAAUGUCGGCAUGAGUAGCGCGAGGGAGGUGCGAAUCCUCCCCACCGAAUGCCCGAGGGUUCCGCAGCCAUGCUGAUCAGCUGCGGGUGAGGCGGGCCUAAGCCGAGGGCUGGCGCCGUAGGCGAUGGAGUACGGGUGAAGAUUCCCGUCCCACGUCCGACCGCAGCCGGGGCAACCCGGCGAGAGCGAAGGGGGGACGCGGGGGGCUAGGUCCUGGGGUGGCAACACCCUCCAACCCGGUAGGGAGCCUGAGCAGGCAAAUCCGCUUGGGCGCUGACUGAGAGGGGAGUGUAAGGGGAGGUCGUGAGGCCGAACCGUAGGGAUUGAGGCCGGACCGUCGAGAAAAGCCUCUAGCGAGGGCGGGCGUGACCGUACCGCAAACCGACACAGGUGGGCACGUCGAGGAGACGAAGGUGGACGAGAGACCCCCGGUCAAGGAACUCGGCAACAUGGCCCCGUAACUUCGGGAGAAGGGGCGCCCCGGUAGCGUGAAGCGGCUGGCCCGUGGAGCGUGAGGGGGCCGCAGAGAGCGGGCCCAGGCGUCUGUUUACCAAAAACACCGGUCCCUGCCAACGCGGAGAGCGUGGACGUAUAGGGGCUGAGACCUGCCCAGUGCCGGAAGGUUAAGGGGAGUGGUGCAAGCUGCGAACCGAAGCCCCGGUAAACGGCGGCCGUAACUAUAACGGUCCUAAGGUAGCGAAAUUCCUUGUCGGGUAAGUUCCGACCUGCACGAAUGGCGUA